CUCCCCCCCCCCCCCCCCCCCCCUCUCCUCUCCUCUCCUCCUCACAAACAUAAACACAAACACAUCAAGAGCAAGAACAACAAGAGAGAGAGAAAUCAAACUCCACCACCCACCACGACAUCGAGCUCGCAAGCAAGAACAAGAUUGCAAGAAGAAGAAGUUGUUGUUGGUCGAGGCGAGGAGGAGGAGGAGGAAGAAGGAGUUUGUGUGUUGGUGUUAUGAGGUGUUGGAUUAGAUGAGAGGAAUGCCCUUUGGUGGGAGCGCGCGAGAGGGGCACGCGGGGACACUGCUGCAACACCACCUCAUACACGGCGUUGGCCUCGCCGCGGCCGGCAAGCUCGUCUCCUCCUCCUCCGCCGCCGCCGCCGCCGCCGGAGCAGGUGGGUUCUGGGAGCCAAGGUCGGUGCUCGACCACCGCCACAGCCCGAGCCCCAGCCCGCCUACCUCGGCUUCCACGCUGUCGUCGCCUCUCGCCGACGUGGCGGCCCUCGCCGGCGCCAACGCCAAGAACGUCUCCGUCUCCCCGCCGCCGCCGGGAUGGGGAACGGGAGGAGGAGGUGGUGGGGGGGAGGAGGUGGUGGCGGCGAAGGAGGAGUGGGUGCACCAGCUCACGCCGCUUGAUAUGGGGCUCGGCGCCGGCGAAGGGUGGGAUGCCGCCGGGAACGUGCUGUCCGACGCGGCGCGGCCGGACGUCGGGGGAUGGCGCCGGACAACACGUUCCUCCGCUGGAUCAUUGGCGGCGGCGAGGACCGGUCCCCGAUGGCAGGGGUCAUGGACCGCCGGUGCUCGAGCUCGACCAUGGCGGCGGCGCGGCGCGCUGCGCCCGCCGCGUUCGGGCCGUUCGCGCCGCCGCCCGCGGCAAGGACACGAAGCCCGUGGUGCCGUUCGCGGCGGGGCACCCCCCGCCGAACUUCCUCCUCCAACACCACCACCACCACCCGCAGCCGCACGCGGCGUUCUUCGGCGCCCACCACCCGUCGUUCGACGCGGCGCCGCCGCCUUCCAAGCGGCACCACCCGAUGGCCGCCGCGCCUGCGCCGAAGCUGCCUCCGUUCCCGGCGGGCGGGUUCGUCCCCGCCCUGAAGCCGAAGGCGGAGGCGGCGAACGACGAGGCCGCCGCUGCGGUCGAACAGCUAGCCGAGGCGGCGAAGCUGGCCGAGGCCGGCGACGCCUUCGGCGCCCGCGAGAUAUUGGCGCGGCUCAAUUACCGGCUCCCCGCCGCCCCCACGGCCGGGACGCCACUGCUCCGCUCAGCCUUCUACUUCAAGGAGGCUCUGCGCCUAACGCUCUCCCCCACCGGCGACGCCCCAGCGCCAUCGGCGUCGACGCCGUACGACGUGGUCGUCAAGCUCGGCGCCUACAAGGCCUUCUCGGAGGUGUCCCCGGUGCUCCAGUUCGCGCACCUCACCUGCGUCCAGGCGGUGCUCGACGAGCUCGGCGGCGCCGGAUGCAUCCACGUGCUGGACUUCGACAUCGGCAUGGGCGAGCAGUGGGCGUCGCUGAUGCAGGAGCUCGCGCAGCUCCGCCCGGCCGCCGCGCUCAAGGUGACCGCAUUGGUGUCCCCGGCGUCGCACCACCCGCUCGAGCUGCAGCUCAUCCACGAGAACCUCUCCGGCUUCGCCGCCGAGCUCGGCGUCUUCUUCCACUUCACCGUCUUCAACAUCGACACCCUGGACCCCGCCGAGCUCCUCGCCAACGCCACCGCGGGCGACGCCGUGGCCGUGCACCUCCCCGUCGGCCCCGCCCACGCCGCCGCGACGCCGGCCGUGCUCCGCCUCGUGAAGCGCCUCGGCGCCAAGGUGGUGGUCUCCGUCGACCGCGGCUGCGACCGCUCCGACCUCCCCUUCGCGGCGCACCUCUUCCACUCCUUCCACUCCGCCGUCUACCUCCUCGAGUCCAUCGACGCCGUGGGCACGGACCCGGACACCGCGUCCAAGAUCGAGCGGUACCUCAUCCACCCCGCCAUCGAGCAGUGCGUCGUGGCCAGCCACCGCGCCGCCUCCGCCAUGGACAAGGCGCCGCCGCCGCCGUGGCGCGCGGCGUUCGCGGCGGCGGGGUUCGCGCCGGUGCAGGCGACGACGUUCGCGGAGUCGCAGGCGGAGUCGCUGCUGAGCAAGGUGCACGUCAGGGGGUUCCGCGUCGAGAAGCGCGCCGGCUCGCUCUGCCUCUACUGGCAGCGCGGCGAGCUCGUGUCCGUCUCGGCGUGGAGGUGCUAGAAAGCCCUCGCCGCCGUCGCCGUCUCCGGCGAGCGGCGCAGCCGUGGAGCCGACGUAUCAAGGAGCCGCGGAUUUUAGUUAGGGACUAAUGAUCCUGCUACUUCUUCCUCUCCAAGUGAAAGUCAAGUGUUUUUUUACCCUUUUUGUGUAACUUUUUUUUACUCCUUUUUUCUUCUUCUUCUUUGUGUUGCUGUAAUGAUCUCAGCUGAGCUGAUCAGUGAGCUGAGUGUCCUAAGAUUGUCGUGUCACCUUGCAGCUUGGCUCUGCUUCUGCUUCUGCUUGUGCAGAUGCAGAGUGCCAUGUCGCAAUGGUGUUGUACUGGUACAGUAGCUGGCGCAUUCUACUUCACCAUCAUCCAUCCAUCCAUCCCCCUGUGUUACUACUCGAUUCCCCGUGAAAAUCAAUGGCUAUGGCAUUUGAAAAUUUGUUCUUCCA